rnacentral:rRNA from 1 species
AGAGUUUGAUCCUGGCUCAGGACGAACGCUGGCGGCGUGCUUAACACAUGCAAGUCGAACGGAAAGGCCCUUCGGGGUACUCGAGUGGCGAACGGGUGAGUAACACGUGGGUGAUCUGCCCUGCACUUUGGGAUAAGCCUGGGAAACUGGGUCUAAUACCGGAUAGGAUCACGCUCUUCAUGGGGUGUGGUGGAAAGCUU